rfam:Larimichthys crocea isolate SSNF unplaced genomic scaffold scaffold183, whole genome shotgun sequence.
AAAUUGUUAUCCUGUAAGUCGCUUUGGAUAAAAGCGUCAGCUAAAUGACUAAAA